rnacentral:rRNA from 1 species
ACGAACCUGACAAACGUUAUUCGGAAUUACUGGGCUUAAAGGGUGCGUAGGCGGCGUGGCAAGUUGGGUGUGAAAUCCCUCGGCUCAACCGAGGAACUGCGCUCAAUACUGCCAUGCUCGAGGGAGACAGAGGUGAGCGGAACUUAGGGUGGAGCGGUGAAAUGCGUUGAUAUCCUAAGGAACACCGGUAGCGAAAGCGGCUCACUGGGUCUUUUCUGACGCUGAGGCACGAAAGCUAGGGUAGCGAACGGGAUUAGAUACCCCGGUAGUCCUAGCCUUAAACGAUGAGCACUUGAUUGGAGGGUCCUCCAUAGCCCUCCAGUCGUAGCGAAAGUGUUAAGUGCUCCGCCUGGGGAGUAUGGUCGCAAGGCUG